CUAUGAUCCAGUUGAUUUUAAUCCAUCUCUAUUAUCCAGUUGAUUUAAUCUCCCUCUAUUAUCCAGUUGAUUUAAUCCAUCUCUAUUAUCCAGUUGAUUUAAUCUCCCUCUAUUAUCUCCCUCUAUUAUCCAGGUGAUUUUAAUCUCCCUCUAUUAUCUCCCUCUAUUAUCCAGUUGAUUUAAUCCAUCUCUAUUAUCCAGUUGAUUUUAAUCUCCCUCUAUUAUCCAGUUGAUUUAAUCUCCAUCUCUAUUAUCCAGUUGAUUUAAUCCAUCUCUAUUAUCCAUUUGAUUUAAUCUCCCUCUAUUAUCUCCCUCUAUCAUCCAUUGAUUUUAAUCCAUCUCUAUUAUCCAGUUGAUUUAAUCUCCCUCUAUUAUCUCCCUCUAUCAUCCAGUUGAUUUAAU
ensembl:lncRNA